UGGGGAAUCUUGCGCAAUGGGCGAAAGCCUGACGCAGCAACGCCGCGUGAGCGAAGAAGGCCUUCGGGUUGUAAAGCUCUGUCAGGGGGAAAGAAGGCACCUGGGUUAACAGCCCAAGGGCUGACGGUACCUCCAAAGGAAGCCACGGCUAACUACGUGCCAGCAGCCGCGGUAAUACGUAGGUGGCAAGCGUUGUCCGGAAUCAUUGGGCGUACAGAGCGCGUAGGUGGCUUGUCAGGUCAGAUGUGAAAACCUGGGGCUUAACUCCGGGCCUGCAUCGGAAACCGGCUUGCUAGAGUCUGGGAGAGGAGAGUGGAAUUCCUGGUGUAGCGGUGAAAUGCGUAGAUAUCAGGAGGAACACCGGUAGCGAAGGCGGCUCUCUGGAACAGUACUGACGCUGAGGCGCGAAAGCUAGGGGAGCGAACAG
rnacentral:rRNA from 1 species